rnacentral:rRNA from 1 species
UACGUAGGGUGCGAGCGUUGUCCGGAAUUACUGGGCGUAAAGGGCGCGUAGGCGGCCUGCUAAGUCGAACGUGAAAUCCCCGGGCUCAACCCGGGAACUGCGUCCGAUACUGACAGGCUUGAAUCCGGGAGAGGGAUGUGGAAUUCCAGGUGUAGCGGUGAAAUGCGUAGAUAUCUGGAGGAACACCGGUGGCGAAGGCGGCAUCCUGGACCGGUAUUGACGCUGAUGCGCGAAAGCCAGGGGAGCAAACGGG